rnacentral:rRNA from 1 species
UACGAAGGGGGCUAGCGUUGUUCGGAAUUACUGGGCGUAAAGCGCACGUAGGCGGACUACUAAGUCAGGGGUGAAAUCCCGGGGCUCAACCCCGGAACUGCCUUUGAUACUGAUAGUCUCGAGUCCGGGAGAGGUGAGUGGAAUUCCGAGUGUAGAGGUGAAAUUCGUAGAUAUUCGGAGGAACACCAGUGGCGAAGGCGGCUCACUGGUCCGGUACUGACGCUGAGGUGCGAAAGCGUGGGGAGCAAACAGG